AGUCGAAGAUGGGUAUUAGAUACUAUGCCGAUUGGCUUUAGGCUAAGUGGGAGUUGUUGGGAAUUGCAUCCUAAAUGUCAAUCGUCAGCAUGUUGAUGAUUGAAUUUUGUCAAUGAAUUGACAAAUCAAUAAAGUAUUUUUUGGCAUUAUUCAUCAUUUUACAUCUUCAAAUGGACUCUUAUAUGAUGAAGUCCUUAGGACUUAUUAAUGAUAAAGGAGGAUUUAUCUUCGAGUCCUUAAACUAGUUCGCGACCAAAUGAUAUAUUGUUACAAGGACGACAGCAUUAUCGAGAUUAGGUCGUUGUGUGAUAUAUACGUUGGUUGUCCUCUUAACCAAGGAGUGUGGAGACACUGGUAUACCACACACGUGAAGUGUAGGAGUACAUUUCACUG
rnacentral:lncRNA from 1 species